GCCUACGGGAGGCAGCAGUAAGGAAUAUUGGUCAAUGGGCGCAAGCCUGAACCAGCCAUGCCGCGUGAAGGAAGACGGCCCUAUGGGUUGUAAACUUCUUUUGUCAGGGAAUAAAUGUAGGUACGUGUACUUACUUGAAGGUACCUGAAGAAUAAGCAUCGGCUAACUCCGUGCCAGCAGCCGCGGUAA
rnacentral:rRNA from 1 species